rnacentral:rRNA from 1 species
AAGAAGGCCUUCGGGUUGUAAAGCCCUUUUGUACGGGAAGAAAAGCUACGGGUGAAUACUCCGUGGUCAUGACGGUACCGUAAGAAUAAGCACCGGCUAACUUCGUGU